rnacentral:lncRNA from 1 species
UUACAUGGGAGGUUGAAACAUUGUUGUUCGAUUGAAAGAUUCUCACUUCAACCAUGCGGCAUGUACUCCUGCAUUUCCUUCUUGAAGUAGCAAUACUAUAACCAGCAUUAUCCACACUUAUUAUGUUGAAAAUGGACUACUUUAGUUGCAUGAUGAUUUCUUCAACUACCCAUACCAUGAUUCAUGCUAGUCUGAAUUUUUAUUUUUCCCCAAAGCUAUUUGAGAUCCAUUCGUUGAUGGGUGAUCUGUACUCAAAGCAUCAUGUCUUGAGAAAGGCCAAAAGGUUGGCAAUGGUCCGGUGAACGUGGCCGUCAAGAGCUCAGUUUGUUUGUACAUACUUUCAGUUGGUUCAUAAAAUUUGAUCAACUUUACCACAGCUGUCUUAUCUAGCGUGGAUAUGUUUCUUCCACCCAAAUGUUUGAUGUUUAAAAUUUUUAAAUUGCAUGGAGAUUAGUGUUGAAGUUGGGAAGUUUGAAGGAGAUAAUUUGGUUCUGGUAAAGAAUUGGGCCCUAUACAGACCCCAUUCCUCCCUUCCUUAAGAAGUUGGGCUCACGGAGUUUUAUUAUAUUAUUUAAAAAUAAAUAAAUUGUCAAAAUGACAUUUUUGCCUUGUUGUCGGAACAGGGAAAAAAAUGUUAAGAAGGCACAUGGGGUGCACCCCGGGGAGCAGAUCUGUGAAACGGACCUUUGAAAGGCGGCUAAAUGUGUCUCUCUCUUUCACUUUCAGUUAUGUUCGUAACUUUGAAAAUAAGAGGCUCUCGCUUUCUCCCCCAACUUCUACCCCGUUUUCAACACCCAUCAUACACUUAGGUGGUGUUUGUUUUUUUGGCUUUUUGUUAAAAACCAUUUAGUUUUAGAAUUUAGGUUGUUUGUUUUUUUACUUUUUCAUGACUUAUUAUAAACUUUUUACUAAAUAGAAAAAACCAAAAUAUGUAACUUUUUCUAAAUAGAAAAAAUAACACAAUGAAUUUUUUUACUUUUUAAUAUUUAAUAGAAAUAAAAUACUAUAAAAACAAACAAUCUAAUAUUUAAUACUAUUAAGUAUUAAGGUUCUAUUUAGAAUUAAGUAAAAAAACAAACACCACCUUACCUUUCUUGCAAAACCCUUCCAAAGUUCAGAAUAACUUCUCUCUCAUACUUGCUUUCAAUUUCAAUGUAUCUUAAUUUUCCAGGCCUCUUUCCCAUAUUCAGUGCUUAAUGCAAAUUCUGGAUACUUCUAUUUAAAUUUCAGAUUUUUCCAUUUCUUUGUUGCUUUUAUUUUCUUCUUUUCCAUAAUGAUUUGGAAACUGGAAGACAGGCACGAACCCAUAGAAAAUUAAAGCAAUAUCAAUCCUCAACUUGAAAAGGCCAAAUGUGUUUCCCAAUAUUUUAAAUACUCACAUGUAAGGGUUGAUUUAAUUUAGUGCAAGUUUCUUUUUCAAACAUUUCCAGAGGAUCUUAUGAUUGCAUGAUGAUGAUUAUCAUGUAGAAGUUGAACACACAGAGAGUAUAACGGUAUCUGUAGAUGUCCUAGCAGCUGUUUGGCGCAAGGGAAAUUAGUUUCCCGCGUAGAUGGGGAAUGUAAUAGGUUCAUUUUUUUCGGGGUUCGCUAGAGUUAUUGGCGAUCUGUUUGGCUCUCCACUCGAUUUCCUUUCUGGAAAGUCUUGCAGGUAAUACGUCUUCCUCAGUAGUGUGUUAUACAAUCAAGUCCAAAGUGUUCACUAGAGUUUAAAGAUAACCAAUCAAUUUUUAUAGCACAACUGAACAUGCCCUUCAUAAAAAAUCUAAAUUUUUUUAUGUUUUAUUAUGAUAGAACGGUAAGUUUUUUAUUUAUCUAUUUAUUUUAAAUUUUCUUGUUAUUAUGGCUGAAAUAUUUGUUAUGUUUGGUUUGGAUGAUUGCAUAGCUCGGUUUGCGGAAUAACAUGGGAUUUCAUCUGUUACAUCGAAAAUUUCUGCGU